GAGAGGGAGAGAGAGAGGGAGAGAGAGAAAGAGGAAAACCAAUAUCAACUGUUUUUCGGGUUGUUUUUUGUUUUUUCUUUCUUCUUCGAGUUAGUCUUUCUUAGCGAUUGAGACUCAGACGGAAGAAAAGCUUGAAG
rnacentral:ribozyme from 1 species